UGGUUGCUGUAGCUGAUCGCUGGU
rnacentral:siRNA from 1 species